rnacentral:rRNA from 1 species
GAUGAACGCUAGCUACAGGCUUAACACAUGCAUGUCGAGGGACCGGCGCACGGGUGAGUAACACGUAUCCAACCUGCCCUUUACUCGGGGAUAGCCUUUCGAAAGAAAAAAUAAUACCCGAUGUCAAGGAUGGGGAUGCGUUCCAUUAGGUUGUUGGUGAGGUAACGGCUAACCAAGCCUUCGAUGGAUAGGGGUUCUGAGAGGAAGGUCCCACACAAUGGAACUGCGACACGGUCCAACAUCCUACGGGAGGCAGGAGGGAGGAAUAUUGGGCAAUGGGCGUUAGCCUGAACCAGCCAAGUAGCGUGAAGGAUGAAGGUUUAUGGGUCGAAAACUUCUUUUAUAUAAGAAUAUGUAUUAUAUGAAUAAGGAUCGGCUAACUCCGUGCCAGCAGCCGCGGUAAUUC